AACGAACGCUGGCGGCAUGCCUAACACAUGCAAGUCGAACGAAACCUUCGGGUCUAGUGGCGCACGGGUGCGUAACGCGUGGGAACCUGCCUUUAGGUUCGGAAUAACCCAUAGAAUUUUUAGCUAAUACCGGGUGUUGUCUUCGGACCAAAGUUUUAUCGCCUUUAGAUGGGCCCGCGUUGGAUUAGCUAGUUGGUGGGGUAAAGGCCUACCAGGGCGACGAUCCAUAGCUGGUCUGCGAGGAUGAUCAGCCACACUGGGACUGAGACACGGCCCAGACUCGUACGGGAGGGAGCAGUGGGGAAUAUUGGACAAUGAGCGAAAGCGUGAUCAAGCAAUGCCGCGUGAGUGAUGAAGGCCUUAGGAUUGUAAAGCUCUUUUACCCGAGAUGAUAAUGACAGUAACGGGAGAAUAAGCACCGGCUAACUCCGUG
rnacentral:rRNA from 1 species